CCCUUAGACGUUCUGGGCCGCACGCGCGCUACACUGACGAAGGCAACGAGCUUUCCUUUACCGAAAGGUACGGGUAAUCUUUUGAAACUUCGUCGUGCUGGGGAUAGAUCCUUGCAAUUUUUGAUCUUAAACGAGGAAUGCCUAGUAAGCGCAUGUCAUCAACUUGCGUUGAUUACGUCCCUGCCCUUUGUACACACCGCCCGUCGCUACUACCGAUUGAAUGGUUUAGUGAGGCCUUCGGAUCCGCGACUCGUUUGUGGAGAAGUUGGACAAACUCAGUCAUUUAGAGGAAGUAAAAGUCGUAACA
rnacentral:rRNA from 1 species